GACGAAGGAUGGCAAGCGUUAUCCGGAUUCAUUGGGUUUAAAGGGAGCGUAGGUGGUCUUAGUAAGUCAGUGGUGAAAUCUCGCAGCUUAACUGCGAACUGCCAUUGAUACUGUAGGACUUGAGUAUAGUUGCUGUGGGCGGAAUAUGACAUGUAGUGGUGAAAUACUUAGAGAUGUCAUAGAACACCGAUUGCGAAGGACAGCUCACAAAACUAUAACUGACACUGAGGCUCGAAAGUGACGGGAUCAAACAGG
rnacentral:rRNA from 1 species